rnacentral:rRNA from 1 species
ACGGGAGGCAGCAGUGGGGAAUAUUGGGCAAUGGGCGAAAGCCUGACCCAGCAACGCCGCGUGAAGGAAGAAGGCCUUCGGGUUGUAAACUUCUUCUACCAGGGACGAAGGAUGUGACGGUACCUGGAGAAAAAGCAACGGCUAACUACGUGCCAGCAGCCGCGGUAAUACGUAGGUUGCAAGCGUUGUCCGGAUUUACUGGGUGUAAAGGGCGUGUAGGCGGAGCUGCAAGUCAGAUGUGAAAUCCCGGGGCUCAACCCCGGAACUGCAUUGGAAACUGUCAGGCUAGAGUGCAGGAGGGGUAAGCGGAAUUCCUAGUGUAGCGGUGAAAUGCGUAGAUAUUAGGAGGAACACCGGUGGCGAAGGCGGCUUACUGGACUGUAACUGACGUUGAGGCUCGAAAGCGUGGGGAGCAAACAGGAUUAGAUACCCUGGUA